AUACGUAGGUGGCAAGCGUUGUCCGGAAUUAUUGGGCGUAAAGCGCAUGUAGGCGGUAAUUUAAGUCUGUCGUGAAACUGCGGGGCUCCGGCCCGUAUGGCGAUGGAAACUGGGUUACUUGAGUGCAGGAGAGGAAAGGGGAACUCCCAGCGUAGCGGUGGAAUGCGUAGAUAUUGGGAAGAACACCGGUGGCGAAGGCGCCUUUCUGGACUGUGUCUGACGCUGAGAUGCGAAAGCCAGGGUAGCGAACGGGAUUAGAUACCCCGGUAGUCCUGGCCGUAAACGAUGGGUACUAGGUGUGGGAGGUAUCGACCCCUUCCGUGCCGGAGUUAACGCAAUAAGUACCCCGCCUGGGGAGUACGGCCGCAAGGCUUAAACUCAAAUGAAUUGACGGGG
rnacentral:rRNA from 1 species